UGGUAUAGCUCAAUUGGCAGAGCAGCUGAUUUGUAAUCAGCAGGUUGUAGGUUCAAGUCCUAUUACCA
rnacentral:tRNA from 2 species